UACGUAGGGACCAAGCGUUGUUCGGAUUUACUGGGCGUAAAGGGCGCGUAGGCGGCGUGUUAAGUCAGCUGUGAAAUCUCCGAGCUUAACUCGGAACGGUCAGCUGAUACUGAUGUGCUAGAGUGCAGAAGGGGCAAUCGGAAUUCUUGGUGUAGCGGUGAAAUGCGUAGAUAUCAAGAGGAACACCGGUGGCGAAGGCGGGUCUCUGGGCCGAUACUGACGCUGAGGAGCGAAAGCGUGGGGAGCGAACAGG
rnacentral:rRNA from 1 species